rnacentral:tRNA from 1 species
CGGGGUGUAGCGCAGACUGGUAGCGCACUUCGUUCGGGACGAAGGGGUCGUCGGUUCAAAUCCGGCCACCCCGACCA